UACGGAGGGUGCAAGCGUUAUCCGGAUUUACUGGGUUUAAAGGGUGCGUAGGUGGGUAGAUAAGUCAGCGGUGAAAUCUCCAGGCUUAACUUGGAAACUGCCAUUGAUACUAUCUGUCUUGAAUAUCCUGGAGGUGAGCGGAAUAUGUCAUGUAGCGGUGAAAUGCUUAGAUAUCUGGAGGAACACCGGUGGCGAAGGCGGCGUCCUGGACCAACACUGACACUGAUGAGCGAAAGCCAGGGGAGCAAACGGG
rnacentral:rRNA from 1 species